rnacentral:rRNA from 1 species
GAGUUUUGAUCCUGGCUCAGGAUGAACGCUAGCUACAGGCUUAACACAUGCAAGUCGAGGGGAAACGACAUCGAAAGCUUGUCUUUUGAGUGGGCGUCGACCGGCGCGACGGGUGAGUAACGCGUAUCCAACCUCGCCCACCACGUUGGGGAUAACCUUGACGAAAGUAAGACUAAUACCCCAAUGAUAUCUCUAGAAGACAUCUGAAAGAGAUUAAAGAUUUAUCGGUGAUGGAUGGGGAUGCGUCUGAUUAGCUUGUUGGCGGGGUAACGGCCCACCAAGGCAACGAUCAGUAGGGGUUCUGAGAGGAAGGUCCCCCACAUUGGAACUGAGACACGGUCCAAACUCCUACGGGAGGCAGCA